rnacentral:rRNA from 1 species
AAAUUGAAGAGUUUGAUCAUGGCUCAGAUUGAACGCUGGCGGCAGGCCUAACACAUGCAAGUCGAGCGGUAGCACAGAGAGCUUGCUCUCGGGUGACGAGCGGCGGACGGGUGAGUAAUGUCUGGGAAACUGCCUGAUGGAGGGGGAUAACUACUGGAAACGGUAGCUAAUACCGCAUAAUGUCGCAAGACCAAAGUGGGGGACCUUCGGGCCUCAUGCCAUCAGAUGUGCCCAGAUGGGAUUAGCUUGUAGGUGGGGUAACGGCUCACCUAGGCGACGAUCCCUAGCUGGUCUGAGAGGAUGACCAGCCACACUGGAACUGAGACACGGUCCAGACUCCUACGGGAGGCAGCAGUGGGGAAUAUUGCACAAUGGGCGCAAGCCUGAUGCAGCCAUGCCGCGUGUGUGAAGAAGGCCUUCGGGUUGUAAAGCACUUUCAGCGGGGAGGAAGGCGGUGAGGUUAAUAACCUCAUCGAUUGACGUUACCCGCAGAAGAAGCACCGGCUAACUCCGUGCCAGCAGCCGCGGUAAUACGGAGGGUGCAAGCGUUAAUCGGAAUUACUGGGCGUAAAGCGCACGCAGGCGGUCUGUCAAGUCGGAUGUGAAAUCCCCGGGCUCAACCUGGGAACUGCAUUCGAAACUGGCAGGCUAGAGUCUUGUAGAGGGGGUAGAAUUCCAGGUGUAGCGGUGAAAUGCGUAGAGAUCUGGAGGAAUACCGGUGGCGAAGGCGGCCCCCUGGACAAAGACUGACGCUCAGGUGCGAAAGCGUGGGGAGCAAACAGGAUUAGAUACCCUGGUAGUCCACGCCGUAAACGAUGUCGAUUUGGAGGUUGUGCCCUUGAGGCGUGGCUUCCGGAGCUAACGCGUUAAAUCGACCGCCUGGGGAGUACGGCCGCAAGGUUAAAACUCAAAUGAAUUGACGGGGGCCCGCACAAGCGGUGGAGCAUGUGGUUUAAUUCGAUGCAACGCGAAGAACCUUACCUGGUCUUGACAUCCACAGAACUUAGCAGAGAUGCUUUGGUGCCUUCGGGAACUGUGAGACAGGUGCUGCAUGGCUGUCGUCAGCUCGUGUUGUGAAAUGUUGGGUUAAGUCCCGCAACGAGCGCAACCCUUAUCCUUUGUUGCCAGCGGUCCGGCCGGGAACUCAAAGGAGACUGCCAGUGAUAAACUGGAGGAAGGUGGGGAUGACGUCAAGUCAUCAUGGCCCUUACGACCAGGGCUACACACGUGCUACAAUGGCAUAUACAAAGAGAAGCGACCUCGCGAGAGCAAGCGGACCUCAUAAAGUAUGUCGUAGUCCGGAUUGGAGUCUGCAACUCGACUCCAUGAAGUCGGAAUCGCUAGUAAUCGUAGAUCAGAAUGCUACGGUGAAUACGUUCCCGGGCCUUGUACACACCGCCCGUCACACCAUGGGAGUGGGUUGCAAAAGAAGUAGGUAGCUUAACCUUCGGGAGGGCGCUUACCACUUUGUGAUUCAUGACUGGGGUGAAGUCGUAACAAGGUAACCGUAGGGGAACCUGCGGUUGGAUCACCUCCUUA